CAGCAGCCGCGGUAAUACGGAGGGUGCAAGCGUUAAUCGGAAUUACUGGGCGUAAAGCGCACGCAGGCGGUCUGACAAGUCAGAUGUGAAAUCCCCGGGCUUAACCUGGGAACUGCAUUUGAAACUGUCAGGCUGGAGUCUUGUAGAGGGGGGUGGAAUUCCAGGUGUAGCGGUGAAAUGUGUAGAGAUCUGGAGGAAUACCGGUGGCGAAGGCGGCCCCCUGGACAAAGACUGACGCUCAGGUGCGAAAGCGUGGGGAGCAAACAGGAUUAGAUACCCCUGUAGUCCCUGUCUCUUAUAC
rnacentral:rRNA from 1 species